AAAAGAUGGAGCCUGGUGGGACGAUAUGAUGGUCGGUUCUUCCCCUGUCGUGAUAAGACAAUCUCGUCUGGUGCCGCCGGUUUGAUGAAGGCUGUGAGGAUUAACCUUGGAAGGUGGAGGCUUCUGUGGCACUGUGUUAUAGGUACCCAAUAGGCUAAAUCUAUUUUUGAAAGAGUUUGCCAUAUUGAAGGGGGGGGGCCCAGACUAAUUGCUAAGAAGAAUAAGACAACGAGGGAGGGGGUUGGAGUAUAAGAAAAAGGAGAGUAGAGGGAAAACAGAAGAAAAAUAAAAGAGAAAAAUGCAAAAUAAACUAAAAUAAGGUUAAAUUGAAAUUUGCUUUGAAAAAAAGAUAAAUAAAAAGAAACUAAAACAAAUGUAACAUGGGAGUCAGAAUAUAGAAUAACUAGACAUAAAUCAAUGAUAAAAGGUUGGUAAAAUGAUGUAGGUCCAAUAGGUUGAUGGGUUGUUUUAGCUGGAGCAGGUCAGGAAACAAAAAAAUGUUUGUUGGUUAACUGGUGGAUUGGUGGUUAUGGGCUGGUGGUAAUUCCAAAUGGGCAAUUAAAGAAUAGUUCAAGGGAGGAAGGGCAGGUAGAGUAGGACCGGUUGAUGGAAAUACUGGGUCAGU
ensembl:lncRNA